rnacentral:other from 2 species
UCAAUCCUGAUGUGUUCGUUGUAAAACUGUACGUUUUGACCGAACAUUUAUGAGAAGGGAGUCCGAAGUUUCUGCAUGGAAUGAAUGCCUCGUUGUAUAUUUAUACUUAGAGGACUCAAGAAAUGCAGAACAGGACACCCACCUGCCAGUAGCGGGUUCAAAACUCAUGACACGACGGCACGAUCGGGAUUGAU